AUUGAAGACUGGAAGACAAAUGCAAAGGAUGAACUGAGGAUAAGAUCAGGAGUGUGAAGAAUGCUUGUGAGUGGGGAAGAAAUGUGUCACCCUCUAGAAGUUCAACUGGCAGACUCUUGCGCAAUGCUUCAGUAAGAGACACAUGGGUUUCUCUAAUGAUGACCUCCAGAAUGAUGCAUGCAUACCUCAGGAAGUAAGAUGAUCCAAAAAGAUGUUGAAGCCCAGGAAAUGCAGCUGCUUUGAAUUCACACAUUAAAGAAAGGAAAAUAUAAAUGAGGAAAUUGAAGGAGCAAGGAAGUAGAAAACAAUGAAGUUUUCAUCCCUGGCUUUGCAGGGAGUACCUAGAAUCUGAAUCAGUCCAUUCUAUUAAAUAAUUGUAUUUUCUUAGGAUACACUGCUGGUCAGCAACUACAGCGGCUAAUGAUUUAAUCCUUGUGUAUCCAGAUAGAGAGCGGCAUCCUUUGUUUUACAGCACUGUUUGUGUACUGCAGUCCCUACAGCCUGCCCCCCACACCACUUUGGAAUUGGGUCCAGAGCCCUUUUAAUGAGGUCUGUCAGACUGCAGAGAUCUGUUUCAUUCUUGACUGCUUUAGAUGCAACAACUCCCCAAAACAACAAAAUGUUAAAGAAGAGUAAAUGCUUCUGUUUCAUCCAGAAUGAGGCUUUUCCUAAAAGAAAAUGUGGAUUCAACUUAAGGCUCUGCGUGAUGAAGAGCUUGAAGGAAGUAUAGUGAUGUCAGCAGCUUACCUUGAAUGCAUCAAAAAGGGUCUCUAGAGAUGUAAUCAAGUUAAUAUGGGAGUAAUACUGGAUGAGGAUGGGCUCAAAUCCAAUGACUGAUGUUUACAUAAGAAAGCAAUUGGGGCACAGACUCAUGGUUAUGAAGGUCAUGGUGAAGACAAAGGCAAAGACUGGAGUGAUGCAUCUCUAAGCCAAGAAACACCAGAGAUCACUGCAGCACAUGGCAGUUCCCAGCCAGGGAUCAUACCUGGGCCUCAGCAGCAAUCUGAGCUACUAGUGACCAUGCUGAAUCCUUAACCCACUGAGGCACAGGUCCGGUGUUGUCCAAAUUGGUAAAGUUCUUUGAGAACAGAACACUCCAUAAAUUCACAGUUUAAGUUCAAGCAGCAGGAACAGGAUAAACUAAGUGGAAAUGUGAGUACUGCUUUGACACAUCUUUCUAUUGCUCCUCUCCCUCCCCAGGGUCUUCAUUUGCUGCCUGACCUCAGAGGGAAGAAUUUUCUAGAUAAUUCUAUAUCCUUCUGCCUUAUGAAAGUUUAUUCUUCAUUGCUCAGUUAUCAUUUUAGAAGGUAACUGACAUAAUUAAUCCUAAAAAGUCUGAUUUUGCUUAAUUAAAAUCCUCUUUACCAUCACCUACAAUGUAAGUUUAUCAUCCUGGCAUGUAAAGAUUUAAUCCUUUAAAAUUUAAUCAUCAACUCAGGAUGACGACUAUUUAAAGACCAGGAACUUUGUAUAAACACAUAUAUCGCAUCAUGGAAACACUUUCUCUACUUACCCUGAGGUCUGGGCUUUCUCAUUUUGCUUUAACUGACUUGUACCAGUUUUCCAGACUUUCAUCUACAUGAGUAAGGUAUAAAGAUGUGUGGACAUCCCAGACUCUAAACACAUAUUAGGAAUUGAUUGAAAGUCAAAGUAACUCUCAGACACAAAUGCUAAUAAGGGUCAGCCUUAUUUGGCAUGUCUUAAAAUCAAGAGGAAGACGAUCAUACUUUUUCAACUUUGAAAGAGAAAAUGUUUAGUAUCUUUGAGGAUGGUAAAAGAUAUCCAGAGGGAGUCUAUCAGCUCUCUUAGGUCAGGAGCCAUCACAACAUACUCCAUGCUGGAGCCCCAAACACAGCUCAGGUAUAUACAUAUGGUGGCUGCCAGAUGUGUUCUUGUUGAGUUAAUUGUCAAACAUAAUAUCAAAUGAUGAUGGCUAUGUGGUCGAAAGCGGAUUACUGAUAGAAUAACUAGGCCUAAAAAAGACUGCUGUGCUAGAGCUGACAAGAACUUACUUCAUUAACUAAUUGUGAUAAUGUAGACAGUAUAGUACUAGCACAAGGUCAGAGAAAUUCAACAAUGGACCCGAAGAGAAAUCUUAGCAGCAAUUACACAUUUAGAAACUGAUACAUGUAGCUAAGGCACUGAAUAACAAGUUCCCUUGGGAUUUCCUGGUUGAUUGAAGCAUCUUUUGGUCUAAUAAGGCAAAGCUUGGUAGACUUCUGGAUGAAGACUCAUUACCAGAAAGAUCAGGCUAUGAUUAGAAGUGUGGGAGUUUCUGGUCCCACAUCCCCUAUCUUCCAGGAAGAGGAUGGGGAAUAACAUUUGAGUUAAGGAUAGAUCAUCCCUAUGUGAGGAAGCCUCCAUAAAAAUCCCAACAGUACCAAGUUCAGGGAAUAUCUGGGUUGGUGAGUCUAUGGAGAUGCUAAGAGUAGCAUGCUCAGGCAAAGCACCAAAGUUCUGUACCCCUACCCACAUACUUUGCCCUAUGUAUCUAUUUCAUCUGAAUAUUCCUGAGUUACAUCUUCUUCUAACCGGUAAUGUAGUAAGUAAACUGUUUUCCUCAGUUCUAUGAACUGCUCCAGUAAAUUAAUCAAACCCAAGGAGGGAGUUGUGGGAAUCUUUGAUUUAAAACCAGUGGGUCAGAAGCACAGAUAUCAGAUACUUGCAAUUGACAUCUGAAGUGGGCAGCCUUGUGGGACUGAACCUUUAAGCUGUGGGAUGUGAUGCUAUCUCCAGGUAGAUAGUGUCAGAAUUGAGUUAAAUUAUAAAACACCUUACUGGUGUGGCAGAGAAAUGACUGAGGUAGGGGAAAACACACACAAUUGGUAAUCAGAAGUAUCAGGGGUGAAGUGUUCUGUGUGAACUUUAAAGGGAGAAACAUACAGGAAGGGUAGAGGUUUUAUAUAUAUAUAUAUAAUUUCAGCUUAAGACUUUCUUGAUUGUUUGUGCCCUUAAAGAUUUCCCUUUUUUCUUAAAACCCAACAGUGUAUUUAUAAGAAAGAUUUAGUUGUUUCAUAAGAGGAGGGCUCUUCUGAUUGUCUAAUCUAUCACCCUGGGGGUAACAGACAUGUUUCAUAUUUUUUUUAAUUAUGUAAAAUUUCAAAUGUUAAUUUGUUCAGUCAAGAGGAUUAUAUGCAUCUCACUCAAAUUUUCUUUAGACUUUGUGAGGAUAUAUUACCAUCAGCAUUUUAAAUUUGCAACUCCUAAAUUAGUUCAAAUCCCUGUAAUAGAAUAUAUUAUUCAAAAUUUGCCAUCCUGGUGACUUAGGUCAUUCUUUAACCACAAAAAAUAAGACAAGAAAAUAGUUAAAUAAGAUUCCUAAUAAUGACUUUCAACAUGUAGCCAAGCUACAAAUCAAAAAAAGCAAUUAACUCAAUCAUAUAUCUAUGCUUUUCAAAUUAAGUGGCAUUCCGUUGAUUAGCUCCAUUUUCUAUGUUGGGUGUUUAGCACCAUGAAUAUACAACUUUUUUGUUAUCAUGAUAGUAUUAUCUUCAAAAAAUAAGACUUUUAUAAGCACAUGAUUUAAUAUUUGCUUAGUUAUUUCUAUUCCUUUCUAUUACACACUUCUUGGAUAUUAACAGAAUUUGCAAACACUGGUAUCACUAUCAAUUUUCAUUGACAUAAAAGUCGUCUUCAUACUGUCUAUAAUUAUUUCAUGCCUCAUAAAUCCAACUUGGUCCCUGUGUAUUAAUUUACCCAUAACUCUUUCAAGUCUUGUUGCCAAAAUCUUGGCAUAUAUCUUUAUAGCACAUUUAGUUAUUUAAAUGGACCUAUAAUUUUCCAGACUAUUAUCCCUCCCUUUGCUAAAUUAGUAAUGGGUACUUUGCUCAUAGCUGGGGAAAACUCACCUUGUCCUAUUUGCUCCACAAAAACUUGUCACACAAGGUGGUCAAUUUCAUCCUGACAUUAUGACUCAUUGGAUAGCCACAUUCUUCUGUUUUUGCCCUUAGCAAGUUUUCAAAUGUCAUUUCAAGAAAAUUAAUUUGUCUCCACAGGACGUUCUAAUCAGUGACAUUGGGGAUAUAUUAUCAAGCAUUUCUUAGCUUUUAAAGUUAGCAGGAAAUAAAUCCAUGGGAGUUAUGACACCAUUUUUCCCUUUAUAUAAGACCAGUGGAAAUGAGAAAAUAUUCUCUGCCACUGCAGCACUCUGAGCCUACAUUCCCGGGGGCAAAACAUACUUAGAUAUAGGACAGACACUAGGGUGUAACACUAUGUUUGAGUGCUAAGGAAAUUGUUCCUUAGAGGCCUAAAAAGUUAAUGUGUCUCAUUAAAUUAUACCCAUGGAACAGUACCCAGUUGCCCAGAAAGUCAGAACUAGAGGAGCUGGAGAAAUCAUUGAAAACUACAAAAUCAUUUCAUAAGGAAGAGACUGAGGCCCAGGAAGGUUAUGUGAUUUAGUGCCAGUUAUACAACUAAUUAGUGAGAGAUUCAAGAUUAGAAUUUAGGUUUCUAAUUCUUUGACAAAGAUGUUACUCUAUAAAACAUUGAAAGGACAGUAACCUUGUUUUUAUUUUUAUUAAGCUUUAUUUACUUUUAUUAAUUAUCUUUUAAUUAAAAAUAACUUACAUAAUAAAAUCUCUUGAACGUAUUUUAGAUGUGGGACACUUUUCCAGGAAUUCAGGCUCAGGAAAUAUUUCAUAGGACCCCCCCCCCCAUCAUCAAGGGACUCAUGGUUCAAAGGGAGAAAUAAAUGUGUAAAUAAUUACAGUAUGUUAUAUAGUGAGAUAAUGAGAAUAGGUGGAUAGGAGCCAAGUCUGGAAGGUUUUUUAUUCCAUUGUAAGUAAUUCUGACUUUAUGUUAAAAGUCAAGAAAAGAUAAUGAAGGAUGUCAAGAAGACAAGGACCAUAGUAAGUUUAGUUUCAGAAAGCUGAGCAAUGUCAACAUUUUAUACAGUGGUCAAGGUGAAAAACAAGAAACGAGUCAGUGGCUAUUACAUUAUGAACAGGGGUACCCUAAAGUCAUUGGAAUAAGCAUAAAAAUCCCCAAAGUUGUUAGAAUGAGUAUAAAAAUGAAAGAAUAGUUUGAGAAUUUUUUUUUUCUUUUUUUGGUUUUUUAGGGCCGCACCCAAGGUAUAUAGAAGUUCCCAGGCUAGGGGUCAAAUCUGAUCUGUAGCUGCCGGCCUACACCACACCCACAACAACUUGGAAUAAAAGCUGCAUCUGUGAUGUACACCACAGCUCACACCAACGCGGGAUCUUUAACUCACUGAGCAAACAAGGCCAGGGAUUGAACCUGUGUCCUUAUGGAUAUUAGUUGGUUUUGUUACUGCUGAGCCACAGCAGGAGCUCUCAAGAAUGUUUUUAAGGUAGACAAGGUUGAUAGAAUAUAAACACUCAGGCAACUAAGUACCAUAUACAAUGAUAAGGGGCACCUCAGGAGGAAGAUAUUUGGGGCUGGAGCUAAAAUGGUGUUUCUUACUUUUGUGAAUUUAAGGUAUCUGUUGGAUUCAGAUAAAUGUUGUGUAUGAAUAUUCAGAUGAAUGUUUGUUGUGUAUGUGGUUACAGAACAUAAAAAGGUUUGAUGUAAUGAGAGAUUUACAAACAUAAGUGGAAAUUGAACACAUGAAUAUGAAUGAAGUUUUGAGAGGGUUGAACAUGUAUGUGUGAGACACUAGUAUUAAAGAGGAGUACAGAGAAAGGAAAAAUAAAUAAAUAAAAUGGCUAGGAAAAAAAAAAAAGAAAGAAAAAGAGCAACAUUGUCAUGAAAGACCAUGAUGGAGAGAACUUCAAAAUAGAUGUGUCCCCAAAGAUCAGGUCCUGCACAGAGGCUGAGAUAAGAACACAUAUAGCUAUCCUGAAUUAAUAACAAAAAGGCUUUUGGUGACCCCCAAAUAAUAAUUUUAAUUAAAUGGUAAGAAAAGAGCCAUAUUAGAGAACUGAGGUGUUAGUGAAUGAGAAUAUUAGAUGUGGAAAAGUUUAUGAAAUCUAAUCCUUCCGAAGUUUCUCUCUGAAGGAAGGAAAAGAGUAAACUAGAAAUCUAGAAUCAGAAAACAUUCCGAGAGACAAAAA
rnacentral:lncRNA from 9 species